rnacentral:rRNA from 1 species
UACGAAGGGGGCUAGCGUUGUUCGGAAUCACUGGGCGUAAAGCGCACGUAGGCGGAUCGUUAAGUCGGGGGUGAAAUCCCAGGGCUCAACCCUGGAACUGCCUUCGAUACUGGCGAUCUUCGAGUCCGGGAGAGGUGAGUGGAACUCCGAGUGUAGAGGUGAAAUUCGUAGAUAUUCGGAAGAACACCAGUGGCGAAGGCGGCUCACUGGCCCGGUACUGACGCUGAGGUGCGAAAGCGUGGGGAGCAAACAGGG